GUAGAGUUGACUAAAGGUUAGUU
rnacentral:tRNA from 1 species